rnacentral:lncRNA from 1 species
AAUGGAAUCUGGUAACCCCCUUCUGUCUACCAGACUCCUCUCCCUGUAUCCCAAAAUGUUUGCACUUCCCACCCACCAUUUUGCCCAGCCCUCACUGUCCUUGGACUUCCCAGGAGAAUGUAGAACUAAUGUGCAGUGUUGGCUCCUGUUGUGCUGCACAGGCCUUCGGUAUUACAAAUGGAACUCAAGAGCAUACUCCACUCGUCUCUACUAGUGGAUUGUUUCUGAACAUUGUCUGCACUGGGCUGCAGAUGCUCAUUACUUAAGUUCAAGGUUCUUACUGAUGUCACUGGAAAAUUUGUCUCUGCUCUGAGAAAUCACAGGGAUUAGUCUUUGUGACUGGUGAGGUGACCACACUAACACCUGGUGUUGAUAAGAUGGCAUAAAAACAGCCAGCUCUGGGAAGUCGUGCUAGAGAGAUGGCUCAGAAGUGAACAGCCCAUGCUGCUCUUCCGGAAGACCUGAGCUGGGUUACCAGCACCUAUGUUCUCCAGAUCACAGUCUUCACUAACUCCAGCUCCACGGGAUCUAACCCCCUCUUCCGGCCUCCAUGGUACUUUUACUCAUGUGCAUGACAUCCUCCCACACAUACUUAAUGAAAAAUAAGAAUUAAAUCUUUAAUAAUAAUAAAAAAAAGAGUCCC